rnacentral:rRNA from 1 species
GUUGUAUGGUUAAGUGACUAAGCGUACACGGUGGAUGCCUUGGCAGUCAGAGGCGAUGAAGGACGUAGUAACUUGCGAUAAGCCCAGAUUAGGUAGUAACAACCAUUUGAGUCUGGGAUUUCCGAAUGGGGAAACCCACUUACAUAAGUAAGUAUCMUUAMCUGAAUACAUAGGKUAAKGAGGCGAACCGGGGGAACUGAAACAUCUAAGUACCCCGAGGAAAAGAAAUCAACCGAGAUUCCGAAAGUAGCGGCGAGCGAAAUUGGACUAGCCCUUAAGCUUUACACGCGUUAGACGAACGGUCUGGAAAGUCCGACGAUACAGGGUGAUAGUCCCGUAGUUGACGAYGUGUGUUCAGUGAAAUCGAGUAGGGCGGGACACGUGAUAUCCUGUCUGAAUAUGGGGGGACCAUCCUCCAAGGCUAAAUA